GAUGAACGCUGGCGGCGUGCCUAAUACAUGCAAGUCGAGCGAACAGAUGAGGAGCUUGCUCCUCUGACGUUAGCGGCGGACGAGUGAGUAACACGUGGAUAACCUACCUAUAAGACUGGGAUAACUUCGGGAAACCGGAGCUAAUACCGGAUAAUAUAUUGAACCGCAUGGUUCAAUAGUGAAAGACGGUUUUGCUGUCACUUAUAGAUGGAUCCGCGCCGCAUUAGCUAGUUGGUAAGGUAACGGCUUACCAAGGCGACGAUGCGUAGCCGACCUGAGAGGGUGAUCGGCCACACUGGAACUGAGACACGGUCCAGACUCCUACGGGAGGCAGCAGUAGGGAAUCUUCCGCAAUGGGCGAAAGCCUGACGGAGCAACGCCGCGUGAGUGAUGAAGGUCUUCGGAUCGUAAAACUCUGUUAUUAGGGAAGAACAAAUGUGUAAGUAACUAUGCACGUCUUGACGGUACCUAAUCAGAAAGCCACGGCUAACUACGUG
rnacentral:rRNA from 1 species